GACCUUAGCUGGAAUCAGUUUACUGGACAUAUACCAUCAGAACUUGCAGACAAUAUGACAACUAUUGUUCUAUCCAAUAAUAAUCAUCUCAAUGGAUCAAUUCCUCGAAGCUUCAUAUACCCUCAUCUUCAAAAAUUGUCACUUGAGAACAAUUUACUGUCUGGAUCCAUCCCUGCUAGCAUAUGGGAGAACGUGGCCUUAAAUACUAAAGAUAAACUUACAAUUAAUCUCCAAAACAACUCGCUAUUGGAAGUUUUGG